CAGAGGGAGACCAGUCAGACUCGAGGACUAUCGUGGAGGACUACUGAUUGAUUGUUACCUUGGACAUCAGCGUGGUGAUGGAGGAUCUGCAGACAAAAACAUGCCGUCGCCUCGCCAGUCUGACUGAGUCGGUGCCGAGUGAAGGAGGGAGACGGGAACUGCCACAGCUUUGCCUGCACAGGCCAGCACAGCAGCCAUAAUGGAAUUCUUGGUCUACAUGGAAAGGUGGGCGUAGAGACCGACCCUGGAGCCACAUAAUGGGAGGACACCUGCAGGUGACAGCUUUUUACGUAGAGUGGCUGACACGCCUGCAGCCGCCAUGCAGUCCUUGGCAGGGUUUGGCCAGAGUCCAAUGGUAUGGAGAACCAAGACAACCGGGAUCA